rnacentral:rRNA from 1 species
UACGUAGGUGGCAAGCGUUGUCCGGAUUUACUGGGCGUAAAGGGCGCGUAGGCGGCCUUGUCAGUCAGGCGUGAAAGCCCCGGGCUCAACCUGGGAACUGCGUUUGAUACGGAUGGGCUAGAGUUCGGGAGAGGAGAGUGGAAUUCCCAGUGUAGAGGUGAAAUUCGUAGAUAUUGGGAAGAACACCGGUGGCGAAGGCGGCUCUCUGGACCGAUACUGACGCUGAGGCGCGAAAGCGUGGGGAGCAAACAGG